rfam:Lasius niger Lnig_2.1_11840, whole genome shotgun sequence.
UAAACGGCUCUUUUCAGAGCUACACAACAGCCCUUUUCAGGGCUAC